GGGGCGUUAGCUCAGUUGGUAGAGCAGUUGGCUUUUAACCAAUUGGUCAUAGGUUCAAAUCCUAUACGCCCCA
rfam:Neptunomonas antarctica strain DSM 22306 genome assembly, contig: Ga0111702_113